AAACUAUAAGUAAUGGGUCAACUAUAUAUGUUGUAUAGAAGCAUUGUUAGCUGAACAUGUCUGCCUGGCAUGUUUCAUCUGACCUUGACCUCAUUUUCAAGGUUCAUUGGUCUUUGUUUAGUUAUCUUGGUUAAUGUUAAGUUUAUGUGACAGUUGUAAUAAAGCUUAGCUUUACACCUAGGACUAUCAACAUAAUAUCAAUGAUUAGUAUAGAAGGCGAGACAUUUCAGUGUGUGCACUCUUGUGGUUAUUAUCUUGAAUACUAUUAUAGAUAGAGAUAAACUGUAAACAGCAAUAAUGUUCAGCAAAGUAAGAUCUACAAAUAAGUCAACAUAAUCAAAAUUGUUAGAGGACACCUUAAGGAGUUAUUGCUCUUUAUAGUCAAUAUUGAACAACUUUUCGUCGUUUUUGUAACUUGUACAAAAAUCUUCUUUUCUAAAACUAUGGGCC
rnacentral:lncRNA from 1 species